AGUAAGAUAAGCUAAAUAAAGCUUUUGGGCCCAUACCCCAAAAAUGUAGGUUAAACUCCUUCUCUUACUA
rnacentral:tRNA from 4 species